rnacentral:rRNA from 1 species
CGUGGGUAACCUGCCCAAGAGAUCGGGAUAACACCUGGAAACAGACGCUAAUACCGGAUAACAACAGAUGAUGCCUAUCAACUGUUUAAAAGAUGGUUCUGCUAUCACUCUUGGAUGGACCUGCGGUGCAUUAGCUAGUUGGUAGGGUAACGGCCUACCAAGGCGAUGAUGCAUAGCCGAGUUGAGAGACUGAUCGGCCACAUUGGGACUGAGACACGGCCCAAACUCCUUACGGGAGGCAGCAGUC